rnacentral:rRNA from 1 species
AUACGUAGGGGGCAAGCGUUAUCCGGAUUUAUUGGGUUUAAAGGGUGCGUAGGCGGUUUGCUAAGCGGGAGGUGAAAUGCCGGCGCUCAACGUCGGAAGUGCCUCCCGAACUGGUGGACUUGAAUGACUCUGCCGUGGGAGGAAUGUGUAGUGUAGCGGUGAAAUGCUUAGAGAUUACACAGAACACCGAUUGCGAAGGCAUCUCACGAAGGGUUGAUUGACGCUGAGGCACGAAAGCGUGGGGAUCAAACAGGAUUAGAUACCCUGGUAGUCCACGCCCUAAACGAUGAAUACUAGGUGUGGGGGGACUGACCCCCUCCGUGCCGCAGUUAACACAAUAAGUAUUCCACCUGGGGAGUACGAUCGCAAGAUUGAAACUCAAAGGAAUUGACGGGG